CGAGCGCAACCUCGUGUUUACGUUGCUAACAGUUCGGCUGAGAACUCGUAAACAGACUGCCUACGCAAGUAGGAGGAAGGUGAGGACGACGUCAAGUCAUCAUGGCCCUUACGGCCAGGGCUACACACGUGCUACAAUGGGGUAUACAAAGAGCAGCGAUACGGUGACGUGGAGCAAAUCUAGAAAAUGCCUCUCAGUUCGGAUUGUAGUCUGCAACUCGACUACAUGAAGUUGGAAUCGCUAGUAAUCGUAGAUCAGCAAUGCUACGGUGAAUACGUUCCCGGGUCUU
rnacentral:rRNA from 1 species